UGCAGUCGAGCGGCAGCACGGGUACUUGUACCUGGUGGCGAGCGGCGGACGGGUGAGUAAUGCCUAGGAAUCUGCCUGGUAGUGGGGGAUAACGUCCGGAAACGGGCGCUAAUACCGCAUACGUCCUACGGGAGAAAGUGGGGGAUCUUCGGACCUCACGCUAUCAGAUGAGCCUAGGUCGGAUUAGCUAGUUGGUGAGGUAAUGGCUCACCAAGGCGACGAUCCGUAACUGGUCUGAGAGGAUGAUCAGUCACACUGGAACUGAGACACGGUCCAGACUCCUACGGGAGGCAGCAGUGGGGAAUAUUGGACAAUGGGCGAAAGCCUGAUCCAGCCAUGCCGCGUGUGUGAAGAAGGUCUUCGGAUUGUAAAGCACUUUAAGUUGGGAGGAAGGGCAGUUACCUAAUACGUAAUUGUUUUGACGUUACCGACAGAAUAAGCACCGGCUAACUCUGUGCCAGCAGCCGCGGUAAUACAGAGGGUGCAAGCGUUAAUCGGAAUUACUGGGCGUAAAGCGCGCGUAGGUGGUUUGUUAAGUUGGAUGUGAAAGCCCCGGGCUCAACCUGGGAACUGCAUCCAAAACUGGCAAGCUAGAGUAUGGUAGAGGGUGGUGGAAUUUCCUGUGUAGCGGUGAAAUGCGUAGAUAUAGGAAGGAACACCAGUGGCGAAGGCGACCACCUGGACUGAUACUGACACUGAGGUGCGAAAGCGUGGGGAGCAAACAGGAUUAGAUACCCUG
rnacentral:rRNA from 1 species